rnacentral:rRNA from 1 species
CGCGGCCUAUCAGCUUGUUGGUAGUGUAAAGGACUACCAAGGCUAUGACGGGUAUCGGGUGUGAGAGCAUGACCCGACACAAUGGAACUGAGACACGGUCCAUACUCCUACGGGAGGCAGCAGUGAGGAAUCUUCCGCAAUGGGCGAAAGCCUGACGGAGCGACACCGCGUGGAGGACGAAGGCCUUUUGGUUGUAAACUCCUUUUCUGGGGGAAUAAAUGAUGAAGGUACCCCAGGAAUAAGCACCGGCUAACUACGUGCCAGCAGCCGCGGUAAUACGUAGGGUGCAAGCGUUAUCCGGAAUUAUUGGGCGUAAAGCGUUCGUAGGUGGUUUAGAAAGUUUGUAGUCAAAUCUGGUCGCUCGACGAUCAACUCGCUACAAAAACUUCUAAACUGGAGUUUGGCAGAGGCAACUGGAAUUCCACAUGUAGGGGUAAAAUCCGUUGAUAUGUGGAGGAACACCAAAAGCGAAGGCAGGUUGCCGGGCCAUUACUGACACUGAGGAACGAAAGCGUGGGGAGCAAACAGGAUUAGAUACCCUGGUAGUCCACGCCGUAAACGAUGGAUACUCGAUGUAGGGAGGAAUCGACCCCUCUCUGUGUCCAAGCUAACGCGUUAAGUACCCCGCCUGGGGAGUACGG